rnacentral:lncRNA from 1 species
AUUUUGAGAAAUGGAGUCGAGUGUGUACUUUAUCGCACUCGUUCUCUUUUGAGAUGAAUAACUCAUGCUUGGAAAUGCUCGAAUAACAUGACUUGGUAUGCUAAGGUUGCAUACGUCGUUGGAGUGAAUCUCCUCGACUCUCACAUGGUAAAAAUGGGAUAACGGCCAAUGAUGGCCUAUUCAUAUGACAAAUGCCUGUCAAUUAACCGUCACUACUUAACCGUUAACCGUUAACCGUGAACCGUUAACCGUGAACCGUUUACCAACCACAUGACUACUUGAUUACUUGACUAUUUGCUC